rnacentral:rRNA from 1 species
UACGUAGGGUGCAAGCGUUAAUCGGAAUUACUGGGCGUAAAGCGUGCGCAGGCGGUUUUGUAAGUCUGACGUGAAACCCCCGGGCUCAACCAGGGAAUUGCGUUGGAGACUGCAAGGCUAGAAUCUGGCAGAGGGGGGUAGAAUUCCACGUGUAGCAGUGAAAUGCGUAGAGAUGUGGAGGAACACCGAUGGCGAAGGCAGCCCCCUGGGUCAAGAUUGACGCUCAUGCACGAAAGCGUGGGGAGCAAACAGG